rnacentral:tRNA from 1 species
CCGCCUUGAAGGCUUCUGUGCCAGCGGUAAACGCCUUACAAGAAAAGGUUGUUCGUGGCUUGGUUCGAAACCAGCAAGGCGAACCA